UGGGGAAUUUUGGACAAUGGGCGAAAGCCUGAUCCAGCAAUGCCGCGUGUGUGAAGAAGGCCUUCGGGUUGUAAAGCACUUUUGUCCGGAAAGAAAUCCUUGGCUCUAAUACAGUCGGGGGAUGACGGUACCGGAAGAAUAAGCACCGGCUAACUACGUGCCAGCAGCCGCGGUAAUACGUAGGGUGCAAGCGUUAAUCGGAAUUACUGGGCGUAAAGCGUGCGCAGGCGGUUUGCUAAGACCGAUGUGAAAUCCCCGGGCUCAACCUGGGAACUGCAUUGGUGACUGGCAGGCUAGAGUAUGGCAGAGGGGGGUAGAAUUCCACGUGUAGCAGUGAAAUGCGUAGAGAUGUGGAGGAAUACCGAUGGCGAAGGCAGCCCCCUGGGCCAAUACUGACGCUCAUGCACGAAAGCGUGGGGAGCAAACAGGAUUAGAUACCCUGGUAGUCCACGCCCUAAACGAUGUCAACUAGUUGUUGGGGAUUCAUUUCCUUAGUAACGUAGCUAACGCGUGAAGUUGACCGCCCGGGGAGUACGGUCGCAAGAUUAAAACUUAAAUGAAUUGACGGGGU
rnacentral:rRNA from 1 species